UACGUAGGAUGCUAGCGUUGUCCGGAUUUACUGGGCGUAAAGAGCGCGCAGGCGGCACCUCAAGUACUCUCUGAAAUCCACCUGCUCAACGGGUGGGGUGGAGAGUAGACUAAGGAGCUAGAGAGAGGUAGAGGGGGGUAGAAUUGCUGGUGUAGCGGUGAAAUGCGUAGAGAUCAGCAGGAAUACCCGUGGCGAAGGCGGCCCCCUGGGCCUCUUCUGACGCCGAGGCGCGAAGGCUGGGGGAGCGAACGGG
rnacentral:rRNA from 1 species